rnacentral:rRNA from 1 species
CGUUAAGGGCGUCGAGCGGCGGACGGGUGAGUAAUGCCUAGGAAAUUGCCCUGAUGUGGGGGAUAACCAUUGGAAACGAUGGCUAAUACCGCAUGAUGCCUACGGGCCAAAGAGGGGGACCUUCGGGCCUCUCGCGUCAGGAUAUGCCUAGGUGGGAUUAGCUAGUUGGUGAGGUAAUGGCUCACCAAGGCGACGAUCCCUAGCUGGUCUGAGAGGAUGAUCAGCCACACUGGAACUGAGACACGGUCCAGACUCCUACGGGAGGCAGCAGUGGGGAAUAUUGCACAAUGGGCGCAAGCCUGAUGCAGCCAUGCCGCGUGUGUGAAGAAGGCCUUCGGGUUGUAAAGCACUUUCAGUCGUGAGGAAGGUGGUGUAGUUAAUAGCUGCAUUACUUGACGUUAGCGACAGAAGAAGCACCGGCUAACUCCGUGCCAGCAGCCGCGGUAAUACGGAGGGUGCGAGCGUUAAUCGGAAUUACUGGGCGUAAAGCGCAUGCAGGUGGUUUGUUAAGUCAGAUGUGAAAGCCCGGGGCUCAACCUCGGAAUAGCAUUUGAAACUGGCAGACUAGAGUACUGUAGAGGGGGGUAGAAUUUCAGGUGUAGCGGUGAAAUGCGUAGAGAUCUGAAGGAAUACCGGUGGCGAAGGCGGCCCCCUGGACAGAUACUGACACUCAGAUGCGAAAGCGUGGGGAGCAAACAGGAUUAGAUACCCUGGUAGUCCACGCCGUAAACGAUGUCUACUUGGAGGUUGUGGCCUUGAGCCGUGGCUUUCGGAGCUAACGCGUUAAGUAACCGCCUGGGGAGUACGGUCGCAAGAUUAAAACUCAAAUGAAUUGACAGGGGCCCGCACAAGCGGUGGAGCAUGUGGUUUAAUUCGAUGCAACGCGAAGAACCUUAACUACUCUUGACAUCCAGAGAACUUUCAGAGAUGGAUUGUUGCCUUCCGGAACUCUGAGACAAGUGCUGCAUGGCUGUCGUCCCCU